rnacentral:rRNA from 1 species
AGUGAACGCUGGCGGCGUGCCUAAUACAUGCAAGUCGAACGGAGUGGCGCACGGGUGAGUAAUAUAUAGCUAAUCUGCCCAUUGAUGGAGGACAACAGUUAGAAAUGACUGCUAAUACUCAAUAGCAAGGGAUGAGACUAUAUCGUAUCAGCUAGUCGGUGGGGUAACGGCGUACCGAGGCGAUGACGCGUAACUGGUCUGAGAGGAUGAGCAGUAACAUUGGAACUGAGGCACGGUUCGAGCUUCUACGAGAAGGGGCGGUAGGCAGUAGUAGGCAAGGGGCGUAACCGUAGCACGCCAACGCCGUGUAAAGGAUUACACUUUUCGAGGCAGAAACUCCUGUUAUUAGGGACGCGGUACCUAACGAAUAAGCACCGGCUAACUUCGUGCCAGCAGCCGCGGUAAUAC